rnacentral:lncRNA from 1 species
AUGAUAUCUUGCAGUUAAAAAUGGCAUCUUAUUGAGACUAUACCUGCAGAUUAGGAGGCAACUGAAAUGAUGGAUUUUGAAAACUUUAGAAAUGUUACAAUGUGAGGAAUUGUUGAUAAAGACCUUCGUCACUACCUCAACUUACGAUUUCAAAAGGGUUCUGUGGACCAUGAGCUUCAGCAAAUCAUUCGUGACAACCUCUACCUCCGCACGGUGCCAUUCAGAAGUGGAAAUGUGAUUACCAUGAAUUUUCUCAUCUAGCCUGAUGAAACCCCCAUUAUACAGAGUCCCGGGUGAACUAAAAUGUCAUGACCUGAAAGAAAUGAUCUCCAGGUAAGCAUACCCAAGUGAACAUUCAGACAAGAGUUAUUUUACAAGCUCAAGUUCUGCUUUAUAGGGCAAUAAUCAUGUGGAAUCAUUGCAACAAACUAAUAUCCUACAUGUGUAGCAGUAAUUGAUACCUAGGAUUUGAUUUCUUUAAGUCAUAGUAAAUUAUAUCAUCAACUAAUCUAAAAGGGAUGGUUUCUGAUAUUCUGGUAAAUUGAAAGAAGAAACAUUCUGUGUUUGUGGAUAAAAUAAUCUGAUUUCCUAGGAGAACAGCUAAGUAAAAAUGAAAAAAAAAAAAAAAUCUCUAGGCUAACAAAAUGUACAGAGAGACUGAGAUAUUUAUAAUGAUUAUACCCUCACUUAAAAUAGCCCAUCGUCUCUCCUACAUGCAAUCAUUCUUCCUCCUGUUCCACCUAAGACUAGCAAAAGGAACAUAAUUAACUGCCUCCAAGAAAUGUGCUACAACAAUUUUCCCAAAGUCACAAGAUCUUUCUGAAAUUUGAAAAAAAAAAAAAUUCUACCUUUUGACAUAACUUUUUAACAAGUUAAUCCUUUGUCUUUGUGACAUGCAUAUCCCUAUGUCAUUUAAUUGUAUUAAAUUAAUUUUAUUCUUUAUCAUGCAUUGAUAUGUUGUUAUUAAUAACAUUAAUUAGAUUUAUAUUAAUUAAUUAGAUUUAGAUUGAUUAAUAGGAAGAACUUGUUUUUAUACAUAUAUUUUAAAUUACAUGAUACAAAGUAAUAUUUUAUAUUAGUUAAUAUCCUAAUUUCAAUGACAGCUAAACAAUUGCUGUAGAAAAGAAGAUCCCUAACUGAUUUCUCUUUUUUAGCCACUAGUCUGAUUUUUAAGUUAUUCUAAUUAUAAAGGACAUCUCAAUCUAUACGAUUAUUUUCCUUGAUUAAAAGAAAUAAGCCAUUACUCCAGAAUCAAAGAACAGGCUGAAGACUUGAGAGACUGUAUGAUAUUCUGGUGCAAAAGCAGAAUGUUUUAAAAGAAAAGUAAAGAUACUUUGUUAUAGAAUAGAAAGUAAAGUCAUCAUAAGUUCUAGGGAAAGUCAUUUCAUUUCUGUUCCUAACCUGGUAACUACUCCUUGUAUAUCCCUAUCGUAUUUUUUAUCCUAACCCCUUUAUGUCAAAAGCGAUCAAGAAGAUAUUAAAAAUUAGUACAGACAUCUUUGUAUGUUGUUGCACCUGUGAAUAAUAUUUGUAUCAUUACAUUAUCCAUAGGAAGCAGGUGGCAAGUGUAUAUCUUCCUGUUGAACCCAGUGCUUCCAUCUCACAAAACCUCUCGCAAAGUAAAUAAUGCUGUCUGUACAAAAGGCUAUUCACAUAAAUUUGUAAAAAGAGUUUUAUUGCAUCACAAAAGAGGAAGCGACUUAAUUGGUUCACCAAAACGUUAAACCACGAGUUAAUGGUUUGAUAAAAUAAAACACAGCCAUUAAAAUUAUGGUUAUGAGAUGAUGUAGUAAUAUAAAAAGUGAAAAUGAUAUAAGCUAAGUUUCUAAAAGUGUGCUAUAAAAGUAUAUGUGCUGAAUGAUUAACAUUACAUUUAAAAUGUUUGUGAAAAAAUACAAGAAAAUCUGCAAAAUUCAAACCAUAAUGUUAACAGGAUUUAUAUUUAAAUCAUUUUAUUUGCCAAAAUAAGAAUAAUACAUUAUUACAGUACAGAAAAAAAAAUAAAAGACAAAGAAAGAGCGUAUACGCCCCUAUUAUAAAUGUAUUAGAAGGAAAGUAGGAGGGCUAAACUAAACAACCCCUCCCUCAAAUAAAACAUAUCCAACAGCAGUGGAAUUAUCAAACAAGCAAAAUUAGGAUUUUGGAGGCUGGGCCUCCUCCUUCAUUCCCCUCCCAAACAGACUCAUAAUCUCUGAGCUAAUGAGACACAUGCCUCUGUGGAACACAGUGCAGCAAACCAAAAUCAAAAAACCCUGACUUCGAAAAUCACCACAUUUUAUUAAUGUAAUAAAAACUCUGAUGCCCUGAUAAUUAAAAUAUUAGGAACCGAGCCAGGACCAGAAAUUAGGUCUCCUAGUUUUAAUCUAUUGUUCUUUAUCUGUACACCUAUUUCAUUAUAAAACAGGGCACACUUUUUUUAAGGAAAAAAAAGAAGCAGAAUAUAUAUGUGGAGUGUCUUGCAUUAAGCCAAGCUUUCAGGAGUUGUUGUUUGAGCAAUUUCUGCUCAAGUAUGGAGUUUCAGUUUUGUUACUUCACAUGCCAGGUUCCCUUUCUGAUCUCUAGGCCAGUGUCCCUUCCAGCUCUCCCAGUUUAGGCAUUGUUAGAACUUAGAACACCCAUAUUUUGAAAAUAUAAAAAAGGACCAAUAUGAAAUAAAUAAAUGAUACUCUAUUUUUUCUUUCAGAUCUCACGCAUUUUCUAUAAAGAUGUUUUGAGGACGUUUAUUUUUGCACAUUUUGACAGUUGGCUAAGUACCCUAAGACAAUACUAUUCCAAUUGAAAUAUCAGAGGAGUUCAUAUAAAAGCUUGCCAAAGAAAGUGCUUUCUCUAUAUUAAGUUGUUGGAGAGAAACUAGAUCAAGGUCUGUAAACUUUUCUUAAUGGAUAUGAUAGUAAAUAUUUCAGGCUUGUGGGCCAGACAUUCUCUGUUACAACUACUUAUUUCUGCCAGUAUAGUGAAAAAGCACACAUAGACAAUGUAAACUAAUAAGUGUGGCCAUGUUUCAGUAAAAUUGUUUUUUUUAAAGUAGGUGAAUAAUCCAUAGCUCAUAGUUUACAGACCCCUGAGUAAGAGGAUAAUAAGAAAACUUCCAAAGCUUGAGUGAGCAAGUGAAUAUACAUUCUAUGCCGAAAAAUACUUAAAGCUUAUAAAUAAUAAAUCAAAUAGGGUUUUCUAGGA